UACGUAGGGGGCAAGCGUUGUCCGGAAUCAUUGGGCGUAAAGAGCGCGUAGGCGGUCCGGUAAGUCCGCUCUGAAAGCCCGGGGCUCAACCCCGGGAGGCGGGCGGAUACUGCCGGGCUAGAGUCCGGAAGAGGCGAGUGGAAUUCCUGGUGUAGCGGUGAAAUGCGCAGAUAUCAGGAGGAACACCAAUGGCGAAGGCGGCAUUCUGGACCGACAUUGACGCUGAGGAGCGAAA
rnacentral:rRNA from 1 species